UGUAUGUGCUUGAUCGAGAAGCCAGUGGGGCAAAGCUACCAUUUGUGGGAUUAUGACUGAAUGCUUCUAAGUUAGAAUACCUCCCAGG
rnacentral:rRNA from 1 species